rnacentral:rRNA from 1 species
UACGGGGGGUGCAAGCGUUACUCGGAAUCACUGGGCGUAAAGAGCAUGUAGGCGGAUUGAUAAGUUUGAAGUGAAAUCCUAUAGCUUAACUAUAGAACUGCUUUGAAAACUGUUAAUCUAGAAUGUGGGAGAGGUAGAUGGAAUUUCUGGUGUAGGGGUAAAAUCCGUAGAGAUCAGAAGGAAUACCGAUUGCGAAGGCGAUCUACUGGAACAUUAUUGACGCUGAGAUGCGAAAGCGUGGGGAGCAAACAGG